UCAGUGGAGGGCGAAAACAGAGGUGACGGAUAGCUUGGGGUCGAUUUGGGACAUCAUGAGGCCGGGGAUCGCCGGCGCCGUCUUCGGACCGGGGUGGACGUUCUGGGUCAACCCCAUCGUCUGUAGUGUCGUCAGGGCCGACGCCGUCGUCUGUUAUGCCUCCCCGGUAAACCCUUCUUCUCCGUCCCCAAGUAAAUCUCCCUGGUUGUUGCUCUGCGACGCGUACGGUUCGAAUCGGCUCGACCGAUGGAAGACCGUUGUCUGUAGUGUUGUCAGGGUUUCCUUCCUCCACUACCUCCCCGGUAAGCCCUUGUUCAACGUCUCCAAGUAAAUCUCAUUGGUUGCUACUCAGCGACUCGUUAGGGUUCAAAUUGGCUCGAUCGAAAGGGUGAUAUCUUGGGAUCUUUGCGUCGCUUGUGGCGAUCAUGUUCAAUUGCGUCGACAUUACUACUUGUCGUGCGGAGAGGGCGAACUUCUACCUCGAUAAGUCGAUAGGUUUUGGACCUGAAGUUGGGCCUUUGUUUGGGUGGGAAUCUUGAGUUUGGUGAAGAUGCAACUGACUUAGAUUGUUGCAGUGCCCAUGCUGCUGAUGUUGCGUUUCUUGCACUUCUUUACAUUGUUUGUUUCAGUUAAUUGAGUCAUAAUAAAUUAGUAUUCAGUGUCUAUGAUGCAAGAACUUUAUAAAGCUGUUACUUUAAGAAGCUUUUCUGCUUAAUGUGUUGUGUAGAUUGGGCUAGUUGAACUCAGUUCUUUGUAAUGCGAGUGCAAUUUAGGUAAAUAUAAUUAGGAACAUUAAAUUCCUAACUUAACUUUUGGGUAUGACAUUUCAUGAGUCUAAAUCUUGAUUUACUAUGGCUUUUGGUUAGGAACAUGUUGUAGAAACCCCUCUAUACUUGUUCAAUUAGAUCAUCCAGUUAUUUUAUCUUAUAUUUCCUCAUUUUGUGGUUAUGGUUUCUUUUUGCCAUUUAAGAUUUUUCCAUUUCAAUAGCUAUAUCUUUGUUCUACCAAAGUUUGGUCAUAAUGCAAGUGUAAGAUUAUGUAAUGAUUGCAUAGUAGUGGAGAUAUCCAUGAUUUAUGCCUCUAAACAAUGGAUGUUUGAGUGCCAUCAUCACCUAAAUGUUCUCCAAGCGUUUGACCGUCUUAUAGUAAUGAACUGAAUACAGUGAAUGUGAACUUUUGGUGAAUGUUUUAGAAUGUGCCUACAACAUGCGGAUGGCCAAGGUGUCUCAUAUGUACUUGACCCUGUGGCUGUAUGUGCAGGUGCAUAUGCUAUUUCAAGAAAACCAGAAAUUAGAAGCUUCUUGAAAUACUGCUAAAUUAGACACUGAUGGAGGUUAAAGGAAUACCUAGCAGCACUUUGUGAUUGUCAUAAUUCGAAAUAACAUAUUCAAGUAUGAGAUGACUUUAAUACUUAUUCAAGAACUCAUCUAAGUUAGCUGAAUUGAUAAGCACUGACUAGAGCUCCAAGAAAGCAAAUGGUUUUCAUUCCUUUAUUCAGUUUGUAGACUGUAUUUUAGAUCACUACCGUGGCUUGUGCAACAAAAGGGUGCAACCUAGUGUGUAUCUGAUGUGGCACAUGAAGUUAAUUUGUAGUUGUAUACGGACUUCUAUGAAGAUCACAUAGGCCAUGCUAGGUGUUGUAAGGUGUUUGUAUCAGCAAAUGUGGUUUGCAUUGACCAUGUUCUAGGCAUUGUUAUUAGUCUUGCAAAAUACUAUAGUACAACUAGUCAUGAGGUGGCUAUCUAAAAUUUUGUAACGUUACCAUCCAAGGAUGAUAUUAUUGUUUAGGAGAUUGAUUAUUCUGGGAGUCAUUAUCAAAACUAAUUGUAGUUUUUAAACUUUAAAUGAUUAAGUUGUUUGUUGUAUGGUUGUAAAACUAAUAAUGAUCAAACAUCAUGAAGGUGUCUUCUGCAAGACAUAAGGCUGUAACAUUCAACUGAGGGAAAAUAAUCUGUAUAUUUUUUUAGUUCAGAACUAUAGAAGGCUUAGUGUUACUAAUGUUUAAAUAUUUUCUAUUAUUAAGACUUGCUUCUAACAGAACUUCCAUUAAACCAGGACGACAAGCGAGAGAGGGUUUAAUUUUUUACCCUAUAAUAAAGUUGUAGUUUAGAUUGUUUGACACAUUGCACAAUACUUGCAAGCUUUGGACGACGAGUUAUUUGAGAUUUAAAGAAAACACUACUUUUUUUGUUCAUACAUCCGUCUGAUUUUUUAAACUCUGUUUGGAGAACAUAUUUACUUAUAAAUAGAAAAAAAAAGAACUAAAGAUAUGCAGCAAAUGGAAACUAAAGCUAUGAUAACAUGCAUAUGAUUAUUGGAAAAAAAAAAUGGUGCUGAGUUCCAUGAGAUGCUUGGCAAAGAGCCAAAUACUCUAGUUGGUACAUCCUGAGCAAGUCGACCAGAUUGUGAAGUUUCUUGCUAGGAGGCAUCACUCUUCUUGAAGGAAGAUUGGAAGGGCUCCUUUUUCAGUAAAUUCCAAAUGCAUUAGCACCUGUUAUUCUCCAGAUCUCUUAAAAAAUGACUGCCAAUUUUGAGUUUUCGUUUCUUUUACAACUUGAUCAGAACAUGACAAUAACUUGAGAGGCAGGUUACUCAUCAGAUUCCAGUAUGAUUCCUUUCUUUUCUUUAGCAUCGUCUUGCAAUCAUAGUUCUUGAAGGUUGAAGCUCUUAACUUUUGACAUAUGCUGUGUCUUUUGUUUCUUCAGCGUGGCAGUAGGCCUGCUGCUUAUACAAGAUGCACCCACGGAUAAGGGUCCGAAUGGAGGGGAGUUGAUGGUGUUUUGCAGUGUAUUUGUUUUGAUCAGUGGGCUUGUAUAUUGGACUAGUCAUUCUCACGAUUGCGUGAGAAAAUUUGUUGGGCAUGCAUGGGGAAGAUAAAGGUAAAGCGACUAAUACUCUUACGAAAACUAACGUGUCAAAUACAAAAAACAGUAGUAAUUUUCCCAAAAUUGUAUUUAUGUAGAUAAAUCGAGUGUAAAUUAGCAUGUUUGGUUGGUGCUCAGAAGAUGCACCAUGGUUGAUGACCCAGUGCUGCUUGUUUUGAAGCAAAUGUCUCAUACCUGAGAAAGUGUCCUCACAAAAAAAUAUGCAAGGUCCUGAUUCAUCUUCCCUGGCCUCUCUCUUUGUCUUGUAAUUAUGUGGUUAUUCUUGUAAUGAGAAUAAGUGUUGCGCAUUUAAUGCUUAUUGUUGAAUUGAGAAAUGGUUCUGACAGUAUAUACGUCUUACACCUACCCGCAGGACUUAUCAAGUGUUUUGGGCCAGUAUAUGGGCCCAUGGAAGACGGGCCCGUCUCGUCAACCCGACGGGAAUCCGUAGUUGGACGUCGUUUUCUGCGACCCUCUCGCUUUGACGGUGCCACGUUACGAUAUCCGCCUUGACACUUUAUCAACACUUGGUUAAUAUUCGUGCCCAGCAACAAAUCUUCGCCCUCUUGAAGUCGUCAGAUGCGUCUCCGAUGCGCUCUCCUUCCCCUAUUUAAGAGUUGUUACGCGUGCGCAGACCUUCCUCUCCUCCCUCGCCUCUCGUGCCGAACCCAAACCCAAUAGGAGAAGGAAAAGAGAAAAAGAAAAAG